UACUCCCAUUCGGUAUUUCAAGAUCAAGCCUGGGGGGCCAUAAGGCUGCAGGUUUUCCUUAUAAAAGUUUCACCAAAAGGUUACAGAGGUCCACAGUUAUCCUGGUAACGCUGGGUGCAAUGCAGGAAGCAAUUCUGAACAGGAUGCAACUCACUUACACAUCCACACUCCUGCAGAACCAGUCUAGAAGCACCUAACACAAAUAUCUUCGGGAUGUCAGAGGAAAACUGGAGAACCUGGAAAAAAAUCCUAUUAAACAUGUUGAGACCGAGAGUUCAGGACUACAACCUAGAACACUGGAUCAGUAAGACCCUAUGUCUAAUUAAUACACAAAUCCUUCUGUUGCAUUGGGGAUUUCAAAGGAAAUGUUCGUAUACUGAAAAAGUAUAAUCUCUUCUCUAGGUCCUCUGGUUUUCUUCACACACCCUCAAAAACAUCAUCAUCAUCGGCAUUCCUCAGUCCAAGGAUUUGUUCCUCUGUUUCGGACCUGUUGAUGAAUCUUCUUGUGUGCAGUCAAGCCAAUUCUGGAGGUGAUGUGCUGGCUACAUACUUGAUUUGUGAAUGCAGCUGGAUUUAUGUCAGUAACAAAGUUAGCAACACUACAUUUACAGCGCUCUCUUUUGUCUUCUUCGAUUGCCCAUUGAGUUGCCUCAAAGGCAACUCCUCCAAAUCCUACAUCAUGAGUACAGGGUUCCUUGGUGGGUCUGCCUUUCCAAAAGAAAGUGUAGCCUGCUCCAGCUUCUUGGAGGUUUCCUUCAUCUGAGAGUCUCAUUUUGCUCAGAGCUGCAAUGUUGAUAAUGUGGCACUGAUGUUCACGAUUGACAAAGGCAGUUUGUCUUUCAGGACUGUUGUUUCUCUUCAAAUCAAGCAAAGUUCUGACAUUCCAUGAUCCAAGAAGAACUGGCUGAAAGGAUGUCCGUUUCUUAUGUACACUAUUCAAACCACAUAGACAACAAUUCUUCCUGAAUGUGGUAAUCUAUGCAAAUUGAAUGGGGUGGGCUUUGCUUAAUGCUUCCCUUAAUAGGACUUCUUUAACACUUGUGUAACUGUUGAACAUGAACGCUACCAUUUCAUUCAGUGAACUACCUUCUUGCACAAGCUGCCAACAUGCAGGUUCUGAACAUGACACUUCCAGGACAGGUCAGCCCCUACACCCAUCGCCUGUCCCCCAUCACUGUUGGAAGAUGGAGGGAGAAGUAGAGAAACACCCUUCAUGUGCUUUGAUUUCGAUGAUACUGAGGGUGAGGCUUCCUCAGUUAGACCAUGACUUGAUUGACAAUGGAAUUAGCCGGGAGAUGUGGGACAAAAAUGGUAGUAAACUAUGUAAUACUGUAUUGUGAAACAGUUAUUGUUUAUGCACCAAUUUAAAUGCCAAUUACUUCAAAGAUACUAAUCUGAACAUUUGUGAUUAUUGUAUUAAUGUCACUUAGUGACACGAGGCCAUGUCUGUGUUAUAAUUAAUUUAAAAGUUCAUUAAAAAUUAAUUCUUAUGUUUGCUCAC